rnacentral:misc_RNA from 1 species
GAUGAAGAACGUAGUGAAAUGCGAUAAGUAAUGUGAAUUGCAGAAUUCAGUGAAUCAUCGAAUCUUUGAACGCACCUUGCGCUCCUUGGUAUUCCGAGGAGCAUGCCUGUUUGAGUGUCAUUAAAUUCUCAACUAUACAAGUUUUUUUCGAGACCUGUAUAGCUUGGAUCCUGGGAUCUGCGGGCUUUAACAAGUCGGCUAUCCUUAAAUGUAUUAGCAGAGCUUUUGCCGCUAACCUCUGGUGUGAUAAUUAUCUAUGCCAUUGAGUUGCGACAUAAAUGAGGCUUAGCUUCCAAUCGUCCGCAAGGACAAUACUUUGACAAUCUGACCUCAAAUCAGGUAGGACUACCCGCUGAACUUAAGCAUAUCAAUAAGCGGAGGA